AUACGGAGGGUGCAAGCGUUAUUCGGAAUCACUGGGCGUAAAGGACGCGUAGGCGGGUUGGCAAGUCAGAUGUGAAAUCCUACAGCUUAACUGUAGAACUGCAUUUGAAACUGCUAACCUAGAGUAUGGGAGGGGGAGAUGGAAUUAGUGGUGUAGGGGUAAAAUCCGUAGAUAUCACUAGGAAUACCGAAAGCGAAGGCGAUCUCCUGGAACAUAACUGACGCUAAGGCGUGAAAGCGUGGGGAGCAAACAGGAGUAGAUACCCUUGUAGUCC
rnacentral:rRNA from 1 species